rnacentral:misc_RNA from 1 species
AUGGGAGUUCAUAAACAUGUCCGAGCAAGAAGAGGAUCUUAUUUAUAGAAUGUAUAAGCUUGUUGGAGAUAGGUGGGCUUUGAUUGCUGGUCGAAUUCCAGGUCGCAAAGCAGAAGAAAUAGAAAGGUUUUGGAUAAUGAGGCAUGGUGAAGUGUUUGCCAAUCGACAGAAAAAGCUCAAGAAAUCCAAGUCUUAAUGUGUUGCCGUGGAUAUAUAUUAUCAUCUUCUUUAUUGUUAUUGUUAUGAUGAUUAGCUAGGGUUAUUAAUCCUCCUUCUUCCUCUUCUUUUAUGAUGAAACUCCUUCUUCUUGCUAAUGUGUGUGGGAGAUUGUUUCGCUGAGAAGAUGGUGAUUAGCGCAUUAUUAAUGGGAUCAUUAUGUUUUUCUCUCUCUAA